rnacentral:rRNA from 1 species
GAUGAACGCUGGCGGCGUGCCUAAUACAUGCAAGUCGAGCGAACGGACGAGACGCUUGCUUCUCUGAUGUUAGCGGCGGACGGGUGAGUAACACGAGGAUAACCUACCUAUAAGACUGGGAUCACUUCGGGAAACCGGAGAUAAUACCGGAUAAUCUUUUGAACCGCAUGGUUCAAAAGUGAAAGACGGUCUUGCUGUCACUUAUAGAUGGAUCCGCGCUGCAUUAGCUAGUUGGUAAGGUAACGGCUUACCAAGGCAACGAUGCAUAGCCGACCUGAGAGGGUGAUCGGCCACACUGGAACUGAGACACGGUCCAGACUCCUACGGGAGGCAGCAGUAGGGAAUCUUCCGCAAUGGGCGAAAGCCUGACGGAGCAACGCCGCGUGAGUGAUGAAGGUCUUCGGAUCGUAAAGCUCUGUUAUUAGGGAAGAACAGAUGUGUAAUUAACUGUGCACAUCUUGACGGUACCUAAUCAGAAAGCCACGGCUAACUACGUG